UACAGAGGUCUCAAGCGUUGUUCGGAUUCAUUGGGCGUAAAGGGUGCGUAGGCGGCGCGGUAAGUCGGGUGUGAAAUCUCGGAGCUUAACUCCGAAACUGCAUUCGAUGCUGCCGUGCUUGAGGACUGGAGAGGAGACUGGAAUUCAUGGUGUAGCAGUGAAAUGCGUAGAGAUCAUGAGGAAGACCAGUGGCGAAGGCGGGUCUCUGGACAGUUCCUGACACUGAGACACGAAGGCCAGGGGAGCAAACGGG
rnacentral:rRNA from 1 species